GUCUACAGCCAUACCACCCUGAAGGUGCUCUAUCUCAUCUGAUCUCAGAAGCUAAGCAGGGUCAGGUCUGGUUAAUACUUGGAUGUGAGAAAUGCAUAAUCUAUACCCU
ensembl:rRNA 5S_rRNA 5S ribosomal RNA